GAAACAAAGUUCCUAGAAAAAAGAAAACAAUCGUCGAAUUUGUGUUGUUAUGUUUAAAAUGAAAUUAAUUUUCGGGCUCCUGUCGAGCCUCCUGAUCGUUCUGAAUGUGUGUCAGGCAAGGUCACCCGAUGCCCUGAAUCGAAAUGCCAUUGCCAAGGAUGUGGAGCAAUUCAAUUUCGAAAGUUGCCAAAUCUAUUGCUAUGGCAAUCUACUGCACACCAUUCAAAUGGCCAAAUUAUAUGAUGAUUCAAAGACGUUUGUGGAUAUGAAACUCAUUCAGUCGCCAGCCAAGACUUUGGAAGAGUUUGAUGCAUUGAUGGCAGCCAAAAAUAAUACACCCAGUAAAGAGGAUCUUCAGACAUUUGUGAAUACUUACUUUGGGGAGAAGGGAACCGAAUUGGAAUUGUAUACGCCCACCGACUGGAAAGAGCAUCCAGCAUUCGUUGAUCAGAUCACCGAUCCAGAUCUAAAGCAAUGGGGCAUUGAUCUGAACAACAUUUGGAAGCAAUUGGGUCGAAAGAUGAAGGACGAUGUGAAAAACAAUCCGGACUACUACUCCAUCAUAUAUGUGCCUAAUCCCGUAAUCAUCCCAGGCGGUCGCUUCAUUGAGUUCUAUUACUGGGACUCGUAUUGGAUCAUUCGAGGAUUACUCUACAGCGAGAUGUACGAUACGGCGCGUGGCAUGAUUGAAAACUUCUUGUCCAUUGUGCAGAGAAUCGGUUUCAUUCCAAAUGGUGGCCGAGUUUACUAUUGGGGACGCUCUCAGAUGCCCUUGCUGACGGCCAUGGUAAAGUCCUAUGUGGAUUUCACCAACGACUAUGUGUUUGCCAUCAAUGCCCUGGAGACCCUGGAGCAUGAGUUCGAAUAUUUCAUCAAUAAUCACACCGUGCAGGCCAAGGGUCAUGAUCUGUACGUAUAUAGCGACUUCUCAACGGGUCCCAGGCCAGAGUCCUACAGCGAGGAUGUUGAGACUGCGCGUAUAUUUGAAACUGAGGAGGCCAAAGAAGCAUUCUACAGUGAGAUCAAAUCGGGAGCUGAAUCAGGAAUGGAUUUCAGUUCGCGUUGGUUCAUCAACGAGAAUGGAACAAAUGUGGGCAAUCUCUCUACUAUUAAGACACGUUCUGUUGUGGCCGUUGACCUGAAUGCUUUGCUUCAUUGGAACGCCAAAAUAAUUGCAGAGUUUCACUCAAAAGCUGGCAACACCGAGAAGGUGACAGAAUACGAGACGAAGGCUCAAAAAAUCAUGGAGGGUAUACAAGCAGUUCUUUGGAACGAGGAGGCUGGUUGCUGGCUGGACUAUGAUUUGAUCAAUGAGAAGCCUCGCGACUAUUUUGUACCCACAAAUUUAUCGCCCCUUUGGAUGAACGCCUACAACAUUUCCGACACUGAAAAAAUCUCAGCCUCCGUUCUGAAGUACAUUGAACGCAAUAAUCUCGACCAGUUCCCAGGAGGUGUGCCAAACACACUGUACAACACUGGUGAGCAGUGGGACAUGCCCAAUGUCUGGGCUCCCAUGCAAUAUAUUCUAGUCGAAGGCCUCAGCAAUCUGGGCACACCGGCGGCCAAGGAGUUGUCCAAAAAGUGGGCACAUCGUUGGGUCCUCUCCAACUUCAAGGCCUACAGCGAUACCUUCAACAUGUAUGAAAAGUACAAUGCCGAGGAGUAUGGCGGCCAUGGUGGAGGCGGUGAAUAUGGUGUACAAACUGGUUUUGGCUGGUCCAAUGGAGUCAUCAUCGAGUGGCUGACCAAGCAUGGACGCGAAGUUAAUCAAAGCACAGAGGGUGGAGGUGGCGGAGCAGGUGAAAAGCGACAAUAGAAUCUCCUAGACAGGCCACAUUCAAUGCCAAAAACCAUACAACAAAACAAAUCCGAUAUCAAAUUCAUCAAUUUGUGUAUCAUUCUCUCAAGCAAAUCCAAAUCGAAUCUGGGAGGCUCAAAGCCAAACUUUAAAGCUCACCUUCUUACACUUAGUACCAACUUAAAACAACACUCAUCGAUUUGCUCAUCAACAUCAUCAUCAUCGUCAUCAAAAUAUAUAGGAUAAGCUCUCACUAUCCUGUCCUGCUGCUUCUGCUAACCUGCUUCUAUCUAUCUCUGAAUCGCGUACAAGAUCAACAACAAAAAACAAAAAAAAAACUAAAGCAACCAACAAGCACCUAGAAAACACGCACGUUUAGGAAUUAUUCUAGAGGAGAUCGACAACCAUCCACAACCACCAUCAACCAUCAUCUUAGCUAUCUUAUCCUUCUAUGCUUACCAUUUCUCGUUCGUCAUCGUUUGUUGUGUCCUGUUCAAAUCGAAAAAUCACGCUAAGCGGAAAGAAUACGGAAGACCAACCACUCGUCUGAUCAGCCUAUUGGGAGUGGCAUCAGUUGCACUAGUUGCCAUUUUAGUCGGACGU